UACGUAGGUGGCGAGCGUUGUCCGGAUUUAUUGGGCGUAAAGCGCGCGCAGGCGGUCCGGUAAGUCUCCGGUGAAAUCGCCCGGCUCAACUGGGCGGGUGCCGGGGAGACUGGCGGACUUGAGGAGCCUAGAGGCCGGUGGAACUCCCGGUGUAGUGGUGAAAUGCGUAGAGAUCGGGAAGAACACCAGUGGCGAAGGCGGCCGGCUGGGGGUGUCCUGACGCUGAGGCGCGAGAGCGUGGGGAGCAAACCGG
rnacentral:rRNA from 1 species